AGAGGGAUAGCUGGGUCAAAUGGUGAUUCCAUUCCCAGCUUUCCAAGGAAUCUCCAUACUGUUUUCCAUAUUGGCUGCACCAAUUUGCAGUCCCACCAGCAAU
rnacentral:pre_miRNA from 1 species